CUUGUUUUCCUCCAAUAUCUCA
rnacentral:miRNA from 1 species